rnacentral:lncRNA from 1 species
GGUCUCAAUUAGGGGCCAGCAGUGGCCAGGGUUAGGGGUCAAGUGGUAGCCAGGGUAAAGCAAGCUUGUAGUCAAGAUAAAGGGUCAGCUGUGGUUAUGACUGGCUGUUGAUAAGUGGUUGGGGCUAGAGGUCAGAUACUGACAAUGAACAGUUUUCUAUGUAUGAUGCUAACUGCUCUGGAAGCAGCUCACCUUAUCUCGGAGGCAUAAUGAAGAGGCAGGAGCAUUUGUCUGAGAACUAAGAAGACUUGGGUGUUAGCCCUUGUUCUACUCACUUAUUCGCUGGCCCCAGCCAGCCAAGAGAUGUUGACUGAAUAUUGGGGACUGGAGUGGAGAAAGCAAGGUCCCUGGAACUUCCCUUCAGCGCUGCCUUACCCGAACUUUUUGAGGAUAGUCUGAAGCCUGGG